UUAUUUCUUUGAUAGUGUGAUCGGCCUCCGACGUUUUCUUCGAUCCCCGAGUGACUAGAUAAGUACUAUAAGAAGAAGAAAAUAAAGAGAUUAAGCACUAGGCUUAGUAAGCUUACAAGCAAAUAAAUCACAACAUUCAACAUAAUGGAUAAUUAUGCAUAAUAUCAUCUAACAUCAUAAAUUUCUUUACUUCUCAAUUUCUAUAUUCUUCUUUAUUCCCUUACCUUCUUUCUUACCUGACCUUUCCUUUUUCAUAAGUAUAAUCUACUUUUCCUUUGCUGUUAAUUCACUGUAAUUUAACUCGUAUCCUGACCCGUUGAACCACUCGGAAUACUAAGGAUACUAGGGUCGUUCCUGUCUUUCAAUAUCCUGCCAAUGCCAUGUCUUUGACAUGGACUUACAUGAAUUAUUCCUGUCUCCAAUGCCAUAUAUAAUAUGGACUUACAUGACUCAAUCCUGUCUCCAAAGCCAUAUUUCUAAUAUGGACUUACAUGGCUCAUUUCUGUUCUGUCAUGUCAACCCUAAUAUCCUAACAUUCCUAGGGUUCAACCGGGGCAUUCUAACACUUUUCCUCUGUCACUUCACCUUAAAUUCGACUUUAAAUAUUUUUAGAACAUAAAUAUAUAAAUGCUGGAAAUUGACAAUAAUAAUGUAAAAUAAAAGAAUAUUGCAUUUAUUUACUGUAACUUACCUUGAUACAAAAUGUGAAUAAACUUUACAAUUUAGUCCUUUACUUUUUAUGUUCCCCGAUCUACUCCCGAAUUUCGUUCUUCUUGAUCUAUAAUAACAAAUUUAACUUAUUUAAUAUUCACAUUUAUUAAAACAGUCCUUAACCCAACUUUUGUAAAAAUUAUAUUUUUACCCCUAAAUUUUCACAUAUUUGCACUUUUGCCCCAAGGCUCGUAAAUUAAACUUCAUCCUAUUUUCUUAUGUUUUAUGACAUGCUGAUCAUUUUUCCCUUCUAUGGCAAUAUCAAAAUCACACUCUAACAUAUACUUAUGACUAUUGGUAUUUUUUUUCUAAUUUAAGCCAUUUUACUCGUUUUCACUUAAAACCGAGUAGCAUAAGUUGUUUAACAUAAUUUAAAACCUCAUAUUCUAUCAUAAAACACCAAAAUACACAAAUUUCAGCCAUGGGCAUUUUUCCAAAUAUGAACCCUAGGUUGAAUUAUUGCUAGAAUAAGCUUAAUCAAGUUACCGGGACUCCAAAAAUGUAAAGAUCAUUAAAAACGGGGCUUGGAAUCACUUACUAUGAAGCUUGAAAGUUGAAGAAACCCCAGCUAUGGAGGAGAGCAAAAAUCGGC
rnacentral:lncRNA from 1 species